GGGAUUGGGGUUCAGUGGUAGAGCACGUGUCUUAUAAACAGGAAGCACUGGGUUCAAUCCUCAGCACCA
rnacentral:tRNA from 1 species